ACCCCCACCCCACCCCCCGAAGAAACACCCUGGGAAUAAGAUUUUAGUAUUUUGAGCUACAGGGAGACAUCGUUUUUAGAAACUCUCCUGCCUCCUCGGCCCUGCUGGCCGGCUUGUGGGCGAUGAAAACAAACUUUAAUCACUUCCAGAGAUUCGGGUCAGGGUUCACACGCUCCAGCCUGGGAACCACCAGCCGGAAGGGAGAAGCAGUGCCUGCAGGCUUUCUCGAUGGUCCCGGGGAGCAGGCGCUCCAGCAGCCUGCAGAGGACCACCCCAUCCUUCAGCGACGCCUGCAGAAAGCCCUCCGGGUCCGAGAUGGUUUUUUUGGGCGACUCCAGCACCCCCAGAGUGAUGAGCCACGUAACGGUUUGCUCGGCGGAAUUCAUCGCUGCGGCCCGGGAGGCAGGCGGGGAGGGGCGCGCGCCUUCACCUCGGAGCGGCGGCCCGGCCCGCGGCCCCCGCCGCCGCCGCCGCCGCCUCGCCCAUCGAGCGGGGUGGCGGGGACAGGCUGAAAACGAGACGUUUGUUUCGCUUUGCUACCUUGCAAGCCGGUCAUGACGGAACAGAAAUGAUGGUUCCAUCUGAAGCCAUAUGGGUCUGAAUCGGGAGGAACCGACUCUCCGGAGCGCGGCGCCGACCUCACCGGCAGGGCAGGGGCCUGCGCGACUCUGCUCUAGACGGACGGUGACGCUUCAGACCCUGCCGGGGGAAGGUCAAGGAAACGGCGUGGCCUGAAGUGGGGCUGUGCAGAGGGCCGGGCCGGGCCGGGCCGGGCGCCUGGCUGCGUCUCGGGGACGCCGAAGAUCUGGGCUGUGAAAGCAGCAGGCCGAACCUGGAGAGCCCAGACGGCAAGUGUCGCGUCAUGCGCGAGCUUCCUCGAACAACUGAUGACACGCACACAUUGACAUGCGAGGAAGAAAUGGAGCCUCUUCUUAAAAGGACACGAGUCUCCACUCACUCCAUCCACUGUCCCUGGGCGCUCCCCCAGUUUGCUCGCUAUGACCCGCGGGCAGUUUAACAAGCAAAGCACUUAGUCUAUGCCAGGCACAUACAUUAAUCCAUUCAAUGACAAAGGCUAGAAAGCAUAUAAAGCUUCCAAAAAUAAUCAGAGGCUUAAGUCGUCUCCCCCUGCCUUCUG
rnacentral:lncRNA from 1 species